GAACUAAGCAACCGAGGGAUUUGAUCAAAAGCAACCGAGGGAAAUGACGAGAACGAGAGCGAGAUGCAGAAGAUGUUGACUCUUCUUCAAGAUGCAAACUCGGAUACAUCAUUAUUCACCAGAUCUUAUUUUUACCAAACUUUUCCCAUCUAACUGUGUUGUUGCUGUUCAAUUUUUUUGUUGAUCUUUUGAAAUUUUAGUUUUUCCUAUUAAGGUAGGAGAGACUGAAAAUUUGAUAAGUGUUUUUUUUUACAAUUGAAGAUUUUAUAUGUUCUUUGGAGGAAGAAGUGGAAAUUUUGUUGCAGAUAUCAGAGAGAAAGAAGACGGAAUGAGUGGAGAGAGAAGAAAAAAAAAUACUUUUUAUUUAAUUUUUAGAAAAAGUAAUAAUGGUUUAUGUGUUUUCAAAAUUUUAUUGGAUGUGUCCAAAUGUAAUGUGUUGGUUAAGUGCCUAAGU
rnacentral:lncRNA from 1 species